rnacentral:rRNA from 1 species
GACGAACGCUGGCGGCGUGCUUAACACAUGCAAGUCGAACGGAAAGGCCCUGCUUUUGUGGGGUGCUCGAGUGGCGAACGGGUGAGUAACACGUGAGUAACCUGCCCUUGACUUUGGGAUAACUUCAGGAAACUGGGGCUAAUACCGGAUAGGAGCUCCUGCUGCAUGGUGGGGGUUGGAAAGUUUCGGCGGUUGGGGAUGGACUCGCGGCUUAUCAGCUUGUUGGUGGGGUAGUGGCUUACCAAGGCUUUGACGGGUAGCCGGCCUGAGAGGGUGACCGGCGACAUUGGGACUGAGAUAGGGACCAGACUCCUACGGGAGGCAGCAGGGGGGAAUAUUGCACAAUGGGCGGAAGCCUGAUGCGGCAACGCCGCGUGCGGGAUGACGGCCUUCGGGUUGUAAACCGCUUUCGCCUGUGACGAAGCGUGAGUGACGGUAAUGGGUAAAGAAGCACCGGCUAACUACGUG